UGAUCAGACACCAAGUGGCCUAUAACACC
rnacentral:piRNA from 1 species